UUGAUCUUUCUUUUGCUAUCCCGCUCUUUCUUUUGAUUGGUUGAGAGGACAUGUAGUUUUCUUAUUGUACAUGAAAGGGAAAAGUUGUAGUGACAGUUUUAAAGUUGAUGGGACGAAUAUUUCAGGUUGAAAUCGGAUGUUUUGCUAAUACAUCACAGUGUCUGAGAGAGACUGGAAGAUUAAACAGGACCAGACCAGAGACUGAACAUGUUGUAACAGUGGUUUUGCUUCACAAGCAAGAUCCAGGACUUAUAGGAUAGUGAUCACUGGGUACAUGUGUACCGGAGAGACUAUAGAUAUGUUGUGAUGAAUUAGCUAGUAUUUAUCAACAGUCAUAUAUCGUGAUAUUGUAUAGUAAUCAUAAGAGGAUAAUGAAGAUAAGAUAUAAACUUGCAGACUUGGUUUAUUUAUUUACAAUGU